rnacentral:rRNA from 1 species
UACGAAGGGGGCUAGCGUUGCUCGGAAUCACUGGGCGUAAAGCGCACGUAGGCGGAUUGUUAAGUCAGGGGUGAAAUCCUGGAGCUCAACUCCAGAACUGCCUUUGAUACUGGCGAUCUUGAGUCCGGGAGAGGUGAGUGGAACUGCGAGUGUAGAGGUGAAAUUCGUAGAUAUUCGCAAGAACACCAGUGGCGAAGGGCGGACUC